GAUGAACGCUAGCGGCAGGCUUAAUACAUGCAAGUCGAGGGGCAGCAUGAUUGUAGCAAUACAAUUGAUGGCGACCGGCAAACGGGUGCGGAACACGUACACAACCUUCCAAUAAGUGGGGAAUAGCCCAGAGAAAUUUGGAUUAAUACCCAAUAACAUAACGAUGUGGCAUCACAUUGAUAUUACAGAUUUUUCGCUUAUUGAUGGGUGUGUGGCUGAUUAGAUUGUUGGCGGGGUAACGGCCCACCAAGUCUACGAUCAGUAGCUGAUGUGAGAGCAUGAUCAGCCACACGGGCACUGAGACACGGUCCCGACUCCUACGGGAGGCAGCAGUAAGGAAUAUUGGACAAUGGACGCAAGUCUGAUCCAGCCAUGCCGCGUGAAGGAUUAAGGUCCUCUGGAUUGUAAACUUCUUUUAUAAGGGACGAAAAAAGGUCUUUCUAGAUCGUCUGACGGUACCUUAUGAAUAAGCACCGGCUAACUCCGUGCCAGCAGCCGCCGUAAAAC
rnacentral:rRNA from 1 species